rnacentral:rRNA from 1 species
GACGAACGCUGGCGGCGUGCUUAACACAUGCAAGUCGAACGGAAAGGCCCUGCUUUUGUGGGGUGAUCGAGUGGCGAACGGGUGAGUAACACGUGAGUAACCUGCCCUUGACUUUGGGAUAACUUCAGGAAACUGGGGCUAAUACCGGAUAGGAGCUCCUGCUGCAUGGUGGGGGUUGGAAAGUUUCGGCGGUUGGGGAUGGACUCGCGGCUUAUCAGCUUGUUGGUGGGGUAGUGGCUUACCAAGGCUUUGACGGGUAGCCGGCCUGAGAGGGUGACCGGCCACAUUGGGACUGAGAUACGGCCCAGACUCCUACGGGAGGCAGCAGUGGGGAAUAUUGCACAAUGGGCAGAAGCCUGAUGCAGCAACGCCGCGUGCGGGAUGACGGCCUUCGGGUUGUAAACCGCUUUCGCCUGUGACGAAGCGUGAGUGACGGUAAUGGGUAAAGAAGCACCGGCUAACUACGUG